GAUGUGUUUAUGCGGCAUAAGCCGCUAUAAGUAAAGAUGGUUCGUAAGAGUUGUCGCUUAGAGAUGAGCUCGCGUCCUAUCAGCUAGUUGGUGAGGGUAACGGCCCACCAAGGCAAUUGACGGGUAGCUGGCCUGAGAGGCGGUCAGCCACACGGGGACUGAGACACUGCCCCGACUCCUACGGGAGGCUGCAGACGAGGAUCUUUAGCAAUGGGCGAAAGCCCGACUAUGCGACGCCGCGUGAGGGAUGAAGGUUUUCGGAUCGUAAACCUCUUUCAAUAGGGAAGAAAACUCUGCUUAACAAGCAGAACUGACGGUACCUAUAGAAGAAGCCACGGCCAACUCCGUGCCAGCAGCCGCGGUAAUACGGGGGUGGCGAGCGUUACUCGGAUUUAUUGGGUGUAAAGGGCAAGUAGGCGUCCCGAAAAGUUAGGAGUGAAAUCCUUUGGCUUAACCAAAGAACUGCUCCUAAAACUGGCGGGAUUGAGGCUGGAAGAGGAGAGCGGAAUUCCCGGUGUAAGGGUGAAAUCUGUAGAUAUCGGGAGGAACACCAGUGGCGAAAGCGGCUCUCUGGUCUAGAUCUGACGCUGAAUUGCGAAAGCUAGGGUAGCAAACAGGAUUAGAUACCUGGUAGUCCUAGCCGUAAACGAUGAGCACUAGGUGUUGAGAGUUUACUUUCAGCGCC
rnacentral:rRNA from 1 species